rnacentral:rRNA from 1 species
UAGGGAAUCUUCCACAAUGGACGAAAGUCUGAUGGAGCAACGCCGCGUGAGUGAUGAAGGGUUUCGGCUCGUAAAACUCUGUUGUUGGAGAAGAACGGGUGUCAGAGUAACUGUUGACAUCGUGACGGUAUCCAACCAGAAAGCCACGGCUAACUACGUGCCGGCAGCCGCGGUAAUACGUAGGUGGCAAGCGUUGUCCGGAUUUAUUGGGCGUAAAGCGAGCGCAGGCGGUUUUUUAGGUCUGAUGUGAAAGCCUUCGGCUUAACCGGAGAAGUGCAUCGGAAACCGGGAGACUUGAGUGCAGAAGAGGACAGUGGAACUCCAUGUGUAGCGGUGAAAUGCGUAGAUAUAUGGAAGAACACCAGUGGCGAAGGCGGCUGUCUGGUCUGCAACUGACGCUGAGGCUCGAAAGCAUGGGUAGCGAACAGGAUUAGAUACCCUGGUAGUCCAUGCCGUAAACGAUGAGUGCUAAGUGUUGGAGGGUUUUCCGCCCUUCAGUGCUGCAGCUAACGCAUUAAGCACUCCGCCUGGGGGAGUACGACCGCAAGG